rnacentral:rRNA from 1 species
UACGGGGGGGGGCAAGCGUUGUUCGGAAUUACUGGGCGUAAAGGGCUCGUAGGCGGCCAACUAAGUCGGAUGUGAAAUCCCCAGGCUUAACCUGGGAACUGCAUCCGAUACUGGAUGGCUUGAAUCCGGGAGAGGGAUGCAGAAUUCCAGGUGUAGCGGUGAAAUGCGUAGAUAUCUGGAGGAAUACCGGUGGCGAAGGCGGCAUCCUGGACCGGCAUUGACGCUGAGUGAGCGAAAGCCAGGGGGAGCAAACGGG